GGGGGUAUAGCUCAGCUGGGAGAGCAGCAGACUGAAGUCCUACGUAUAGGGUAAAGUCCUUCUGAAGGUCCCGCGUUCGAUCCGCGGUACCCCCA